GAACGCUAGCGACAGGCCUAACACAUGCAAGUCAGGGGCAGCACAAGGAGCAAUCUGAGGUGGCGACCGGCGCACGGGUGAGUAACACGUAUGCAACCUGCCUGUAAGCGGGGAAUAACCCGUUGAAAGACGGACUAAUACCGCAUAAUACUAAAUUACUGCAUGGUAAUUUAUUUAAACAUUUAUGGCUUACAGAUGGGCAUGCGCAUGAUUAGCUAGUUGGAGAGGUAACGGCUCCCCAAGGCAACGAUCAUUAGGGGUUCUGAGAGGAAAGUCCCCCACACUGGUACUGAGACACGGACCAGACUCCUACGGGAGGCAGCAGUGAGGAAUAUUGGUCAAUGGACGAGAGUCUGAACCAGCCAAGUCGCGUGCAGGAAGAAUGUCCCUAUGGAUUGUAAACUGCUUUUGCAGGGGAAUAAAGUGCAUCACGUGUGAUGUUUUGUAUGUACUCUGCGAAUAAGGAUCGGCUAACUCCGUGCCAGCCGCCGC
rnacentral:rRNA from 1 species